rnacentral:rRNA from 1 species
UCACCUGUUUAUCAAAAACAUGUCUUAUUGAAAAUUAAUUUUAAGUCAAAUCUGCUCAAUGAUUUAUUUUAAAUAGCUGCAGUAUAUAUAACUGUACAAAGGUAGCAUAAUAAUUAGUUUUUUAAUUGAAAACUAGAAUGAAUGAUUUAAUGAAAUAUAAACUUUAUUAAAAUUUAAAAAUAAAUUUUUUAUUUAAAUAAAAAAAAUUAAAUAUAAUUUAAAGACGAGAAGACCCUAAAGAAUUUUUAUUAAUAAAUUUUAAAUUUAAAAUUUAAUUAAUUUUAAUUGGGGAAAUUUUAAAAUUUAAAUAAUUUUUUUUUAAAUUAAUUAACAUUUAUUUUUGAAUAAAUUUUUAUUUUUUAAAAAAAAAAAUUAAAUUACCUUAGGGAUAACAGCAUAAUUUUUUUAUAAAGUUCAAAUUUAUAAUAAAGUUUAUGACCUCG